rnacentral:lncRNA from 1 species
UUUAAGUUAUUAGUAGGUAAUUAACUUGAAUUAAUCUUAUUAAAUAAAAAAUUCAAGUGCAACCAUGUGCUAGCAAGGUUAUCCUGAACCCAAUAGAAUUUCUCUAAACCCAAUUGAGGCUUCAUAAGCCUAAUUACUUAUUUCAGAUCUAAUUUCUUUAUUGUGUGACCCCCAUAGGUUCAAUUCUAUCUGGUAGUGAGAUGAUCUCUAUCAUAGUGUCACUGAAACUCUUUUCAAUAGAUCGAAAUGAUUCUGCUCUAACUCAUCAAGAAUUGUCAAUCUAGAAUAACUUUAGUGAGCUCUCAUAAUCCAUCAGUGACACCUAGUAGUAUGUAGUGGCAACCCAGUAGAACCAAAAAAAAAAUCAAAAUAUAGUUCACAUAUAAUUCAGUCCCUCUAUCGUGAGUCCCGACUAGAUGGC